GUCCAAGGGGAUUCUCCAAGGGGCUGACUGGUGCCACUCUCAAGAAAAUCGCGACUUGGAAUAAAAUCUGGCAUGCCUAAAGUUUUCAGGGGACGGGAGAUGCUUAUUUUCUUUGCCAUCCUUUGAUUGCCUACAUGC
rnacentral:snoRNA from 1 species